UACCUCAUUGACAGGAAGAAAUUCCUUCCGGUUGAUGAGUUCAAUCUUCCUCAUCAACCGGAAGGGAUCCCUUCCGGUUGAUGAGGGA
rnacentral:miRNA from 1 species